UUCCGGUUGAUCCCGCCGGAGGUUACUGCUAUUGGUGUUCGACUAAGCCAUGCAAGUCAUAUGUUCCUCGUGAACAUGGCAUACUGCUCAGUAACACGUGGAUAACCUGCCCUUGGGCCUGGGAUAACCCCGGGAAACUGGGGAUAAUACCGGAUAACGCAUAUGUGCUGGAAUGCUUUAUGCGUAAAACGGAUUCGUCCGCCCAAGGAUGGGUCUGCGGCCUAUCAGGUAGUAGUGGGUGUAAUGUACCUACUAGCCAACAACGGGUACGGGUUGUGAGAGCAAGAGCCCGGAGAUGGAUUCUGAGACAUGAAUCCAGGCCCUACGGGGCGCAGCAGGCGCGAAAACUUUACAAUGCGGGCAACCGUGAUAAGGGAACCUCGAGUGCCUGUAAAUGCAGGCUGUUCAGGUGCCUAAAACACACCUGAAGAAAGGGCCGGGCAAGACCGGUGCCAGCCGCCGCGGUAAUACCGGCGGCUCGAGUGGUGGCCGCUUUUAUUGGGCUUAAAGCGUUCGUAGCUGGGUUGUUAAGUCUCUUGGGAAAUCUGGCGGCUUAACCGUCAGGCGUCUAAGGGAUACUGGCAAUCUUGGAACCGGGAGAGGUGAGGGGUACUUCGGGGGUAGGAGUGAAAUCCUGUAAUCCUCGAGGGACCACCUGUGGCGAAGGCGCCUCACCAGAACGGCUUCGACAGUGAGGGACGAAAGCUGGGGGAGCAAGCCGGAUUAGAUACCCGGGUAGUCCCAGCCGUAAACUAUGCGCGUUAGGUGUAUCGGUGACCACGAGUUACCGAGGUGCCGAAGGGAAACCGUGAAACGUGCCGCCUGGGAAGUACGGUCGCAAGGCUGAAACUUAAAGGAAUUGGCGGGGGAGCACCACAACAGGUGGAGCCUGCGGUUUAAUUGGACUCAACGCCGGGAAGCUCACCGGAUAAGACAGCAGAAUGAUUGCCGGGCUGAAGACUCUGCAUGACUAGCUGAGAGGAGGUGCAUGGCC
rnacentral:rRNA from 1 species